rnacentral:rRNA from 1 species
UGAGGAAUAUUGGUCAAUGGGCGAGAGCCUGAACCAGCCAAGUCGCGUGAAGGAAGAAGGAUCUAUGGUUCGUAAACUUCUUUUUUAGGGGAAUAAAGUGCGGUACGUGUACCGUUUUGUAUGUACCCUACGAAUAAGGAUCGGCUAACUCCGUGCCAGCAGCCGCGGUAAUACGGAGGAUCCGAGCGUUAUCCGGAUUUAUUGGGUUUAAAGGGUGCGUAGGCGGGUUUUUAAGUCAGUGGUGAAAGUUUGCAGCUCAACUGUAAAAUUGCUAUUGAAACUGAAGACCUUGAGUGUAAAUGAGGUAGGCGGAAUGUGUUGUGUAGCGGUGAAAUGCUUAGAUAUGACACAGAACACCGAUUGCGAAGGCAGCUUACUAAGAUACAACUGACGCUGAGGCACGAAAGCGUGGGGAUCGAACAGGAUU